UACAGAGGUCCCAAGCGUUGUUCGGAUUCACUGGGCGUAAAGGGUGCGUAGGUGGCGAGGUAAGUCGGAUGUGAAAGCUCGGAGCUCAACUCCGAAAUGGCAUUGGAAACUACCUGGCUUGAGGGUUGGAAGGGGGACUGGAAUUCUCGGUGUAGCAGUGAAAUGCGUAGAUAUCGAGAGGAACACCAGUGGCGAAGGCGACUCUCUGGUCUGUAACUGACGCUGAGGAGCGAAAGCGUGGGUAGCAAACAGG
rnacentral:rRNA from 1 species